CAGAGUUCAUGCCCUGAUGGGUAGACCUCCCACCCUUGAAUACCUUACCUUUGUUGCUUUGGCGGGCCGCCUUGGCCACCGGCUCCGGCUGGUGAGUGCCCGCCAGAGGACCCUAAACUCUGAAAUUUAGUGUCGUCUGAGUACUACAUAAUAGUUA
rnacentral:misc_RNA from 1 species